CCUACGUGCGGCAGCAGUGAGGAAUAUUGGUCAAUGGUCGUGAGCCUGAACCAGCCAAGUAGCGUGAGGGAUGACGGUCCUACGGAUUGUAAACUUCUUUUAUCAGGGAAUAAAGUCGGGAACUUGUGCCGUUUUGUGGGUACCUCAUGAAUAAGCAUCGGCUAACUCCGUGCCAGCAGCCGCGGUAAUACGGAGGAUCCGAGCGUUAUCCGGAUUUAUUGGGUUUAAAGGGUGCGUAGGGGGCCUGUUAAGUCAGCGGUAAAAGCCCGGGGCUCAACCUGGGAGAGCCGUUGAAACUGGCGGGCUGGAGUGCGCGAGAAGUAGGCGGAAUGCGUGGUGGAGCGGUGAAAUGCUUAGAUAUCACGAAGAACUCCGAUUGCGAAGGCAGCAUACGGCAUCGACACUGACGCUGAAGCUCGAAAGUGUGGGUAUCGAACAGGAUUAGAUACCCUUGUAGUC
rnacentral:rRNA from 1 species